rnacentral:lncRNA from 1 species
AAAUUAAACUCAGAAUGAAGGGGGCAAAUUAGUAGGAAAGCACUGCUUCCCCCUCCCAUUUCCUUUUAGAUUUAUUUUUUCCUGUUUGUUUUUUUUUUUUUUGUCUUCUUGUUUUUUUAAUAAUUGCACCUUCCUACAACGGUAUUUUAAUUCUCCACUUUUACUUCCAUAAGUAUGUGUGUUCCAUCCGAUUCAAUAACAACUAUUUGCUUUCACAAAUUCUCUCCAGUAGGGAAGUCAGAGCAUUUUGUUUACCUCAUUUGAAUAAUCCUUUAAUAAGAAUUCUAUGCUCAAAGUCCCCACAUUUUGCCAAUGACAGGAAUGGUGAGGUUUUUUCCCCUCAAAUAAGACGAAGAUUUUGAACCCUUUCAUUUCACCCAAAGCAGACAGCCCAAAUCACAAAUGGCAGCUGACUGGGUUCUAGUCGAAGCUGUGAGCCUUCCAUCAUCUGGAGUCAAAUGCUGAAGGCAUUCCUGGAUCCCACUCAAGGGGAACUGCGAACAGUUGGGGUUUGUUUUCUUUUAAAAUACGAGAAAAGUCUCAGACUUUCUGUUUGCCUGGCAACCAGGUCAGCUGUGUUUCAGACUUCUCAGAAACAAUGUUUUGUCCCAGAAUAUGGCCAGGUAAAAAGAAGGGGGAGUGGGGGAAGAAAGCACUGUUCAAUCUCUUACUUGAUUGCUUUGCAGCUUCUCUGAAAAAUACAACAGGAUUAGUUAUAGCAUCUGACUCUUAUCCCAGUUUCUCUCUUACCUGUUUUCCAUACCUCUUCUUCCCUUUAGCACUUGUAUAAAAGGCAAAAUGCCAAUAAUUAAUAGAGUAUGGAGGCAAAGUGGUUUAUUUUCAUAUUCCUGCUCAAUACCCAAAGAUUAACAUUCCUCAAAAUCAUCCAUCUAUCUGAACUUCAGAGAUCAUCUAUGGCUAAUGUGCUCUUGUAAGUUAAAAUAAGAGCAGCAGACCACAGGACAACCUUUGUAGUUGGCCAACGUUACCCCUAACAAUAAAACAUAAA